CUUACUACUUGGAUAACCGUGGUAAUUCUAGAGCUAAUACAUGCUAAAAACCCCAACUCACGAAGGGGUGUAUUUAUUAGAUUAAAAACCAAUGCCCUUCGGGGCUCCUUGGUGAUUCAUAAUAACUUCUCGAAUCGCAUGGCCUUGCGCCGGCGAUGGUUCAUUCAAAUUUCUGCCCUAUCAACUUUCGAUGGCAGGGUCUUGGCCUGCCAUGGUUACAACGGGUAACGGAGGGUUAGGGCUCGACCCCGGAGAAGGAGCCUGAGAAACGGCUACUACAUCCAAGGAAGGCAGCAGGCGCGCAAAUUACCCAAUCCCGACUCGGGGAGGUAGUGACAAUAAAUACUGAUACAGGGCUCUUUUGGGUCUUGUAAUUGGAAUGAGUACAAUUUAAAUCCCUUAACGAGGAACAAUUGGAGGGCAAGUCUGGUGCCAGCAGCCGCGGUAAUUCCAGCUCCAAUAGCGUAUAUUAAAGUUGUUGCAGUUAAAAAGCUCGUAGUUGAACCUUGGGCCUGGCUGGCCGGUCCGCCUCACCGCGUGCACUGGUUCGGCCGGGCCUUUCCCUCUGGGGAACCGCAUGCCCUUCACUGGGUGUGUCGGGGAACCAGGACUUUUACUGUGAAAAAAUUAGAGUGUUCAAAGCAGGCCUAUGCUCGAAUACAUUAGCAUGGAAUAAUAGAAUAGGACGUGUGGUUCUAUUUUGUUGGUUUCUAGGACCGCCGUAAUGAUUAAUAGGGACAGUCGGGGGCGUCAGUAUUCCGUUGUCAGAGGUGAAAUUCUUGGAUUUACGGAAGACUAACUACUGCGAAAGCAUUCGCCAAGGAUGUUUUCAUUAAUCAGGAACGAAAGUUAGGGGAUCGAAGACGAUCAGAUACCGUCGUAGUCUUU
rnacentral:rRNA from 1 species